rnacentral:rRNA from 1 species
CAGCAGCCGCGGUAAUACAGAGGGUGCGAGCGUUAAUCGGAUUUACUGGGCGUAAAGCGUGCGUAGGCGGCUAAUUGAGUCGGAUGUGAAAUCCCCGAGCUUAACUUGGGAAUUGCAUUCGAUACUGGUUAGCUAGAGUGUGGGAGAGGAUGGUAGAAUUCCAGGUGUAGCGGUGAAAUGCGUAGAGAUCUGGAGGAAUACCGAUGGCGAAGGCAGCCAUCUGGCCUAAUACUGACGCUGAGGUACGAAAGCAUGGGGAGCAAACAGGAUUAGAUACCCGUGUAGUCCCUGUCUCUUAUAA